AAAUUGAAGAGUUUGAUCAUGGCUCAGAUUGAACGCUGGCGGCAGGCCUAACACAUGCAAGUCGAACGGUAACAGGAAGCAGCUUGCUGCUUCGCUGACGAGUGGCGGACGGGUGAGUAAUGUCUGGGAAACUGCCUGAUGGAGGGGGAUAACUACUGGAAACGGUGGCUAAUACCGCAUAACGUCGCAAGACCAAAGAGGGGGACCUUCGGGCCUCUUGCCAUCAGAUGUGCCCAGAUGGGAUUAGCUGGUUGGUGAGGUAACGGCUCACCAAGGCGACGAUCCCUAGCUGGUCUGAGAGGAUGACCAGCCACACUGGAACUGAGACACGGUCCAGACUCCUACGGGAGGCAGCAGUGGGGAAUAUUGCACAAUGGGCGCAAGCCUGAUGCAGCCAUGCCGCGUGUAUGAAGAAGGCCUUCGGGUUGUAAAGUACUUUCAGCGGGGAGGAAGGUGUUGUGGUUAAUAACUGCAGCAAUUGACGUUACCCGCAGAAGAAGCACCGGCUAACUCCGUGCCAGCAGCCGCGGUAAUACGGAGGGUGCAAGCGUUAAUCGGAAUUACUGGGCGUAAAGCGCACGCAGGCGGUCUGUCAAGUCGGAUGUGAAAUCCCCGGGCUCAACCUGGGAACUGCAUUCGAAACUGGCAGGCUUGAGUCUUGUAGAGGGGGG
rnacentral:rRNA from 2 species